AUUCCAUGAUGAGGGAACUCCCGUAAUAACUCUUUGUCCUUUUCCCAUGCCUUAUAAAAGGACUCAUCAUUCAUUUGUUGGAAUGAAAUGAUCUCAUUCCUCAACUU
rfam:Gossypium arboreum cultivar AKA8401 contig_76570_1, whole genome shotgun sequence.